rnacentral:lncRNA from 1 species
AGUGCAAUAAAGAAAGAUGUUAAAACAGAGUCGAGAUAGGGGAAUAAUGUUUAAUUGGCUCUCCAGAGUCCACUAAUUUUCAGAAUUGGAAACCUAGUGUUUGAUUUGUUCUUUUUAGUCAGCGAGAAGAAAAAAUAUCCUUCAUAAAUUCUGAAUGACAAAUUUGCCCAUCCUUUUUUGCAUGUGGUUCCAGCAUCCCAGGGAAUCUAAAGUGUCAUUUCCUCUCUGGAAGAAAGGAAGCACAAAACAUGCUAGGACAAAAUUGGAGAAACUGAUUAUUUUACCCAGGCUUUGACUGGAAUGGCAUGAUUCCUUUAAAAAAUUCAAGCUUGACUUAUACAGCCAAUUAAGCCCUGUUGGGGAAUCUGGUCUCAUACCUUGUCCACACAGAGUCCUUGUACAAGUUUCCCGACCUGUGAAAGAAGAAAGAGCUUUAACAGACAUUUGAUAAUGAAUUGUUACUUCUUACUCAUGUUUAUAUAUAAACUCUUGACUGUCAAUGCUAUAAAAGACAAUUCAAAAGGAAGAAAUGCAGUUAUAUUGAAACACCAUUCAAAACAUCACAACAAGAAAUGCAGUCUACUAUAAACUGAGUAAAUAGAAAGAUAUACAGUAGUACUGAGGCUACUACCAGGAGAAGGCAAUAUUGGUACUGAACAAAAAAGAGUUUCUUCACACUGAAGUACAGCACAGUUGAGAAGCAUGAAAUAAAGACGUUUUCUAGACUCCAAUUCUAUCAUUUCCAUGAGAAGUCCUGGAAGCCGUCUCCCACAGAUACCAAGAGACCACUGUAUAUCCAGAAGUGUGACUACUGUGUAAUAUGAAGUUAUAACUUUAAUUUCUUCAGGAACCACCAUACUGCUUUCCACAGCAGGUUUAAACAGUAUCCAUUCAGAACAAUGACAAGAAAGCUUU